rnacentral:rRNA from 1 species
CCUACGGGUGGCAGCAGUGGGGAAUAUUGGGCAAUGGGCGCAAGCCUGACCCAGCAACGCCGCGUGAGGGAAGAAGGCUUUCGGGUUGUAAACUUCUUUUGUCAGGGACGAAGCAAGCGCCGGUACCUGACGAAUCAGCCACGGCUAACUACGUGCCAGCAGCCGCGGUAAUACGUAGGCGGCAAGCGUUAUCCGGAUGUACUGGGUGUAAAGGGCGUGUAGGCGGGGCGGCAAGUCUGAUGUGAAAACCACGGGCUCAACCUGCGGCCUGCAUUUGAAACUGUUUUUCUUGAGUGCUGGAGGGGUAAGCGGAAUUCCGGGUGUAGCGGUGAAAUGCGUAGAUAUACGGAGGAACACCAGUGGCGAAGGCGGAUUGCUGGACAGUAACUGACGCUGAGGCGCGAAAGCGUGGGGAGCAAACAGGAUUAGAUACCCGAGUAGUC